GAAACGGUAGCCGCGUGGUUGUCGACUACAAUGUACGUAUUCGUUAUCCUGGUUCUGAUGUGCAUCACCGCUCAGCAUUCUCUUGAAACAAAUCCAAAAGCCAGAUCGAGGCGAGAAGCAGGUAAAGGGACGUCACCAAACUGCCCAGCUGCCACCACCGCGACAGUCAUGGCAUGCCCUCUGUACAUCAUCGCCAAUGAAACAUGUACCGAUCUCAAAUGUGAAAGACAACACAAAAUCUGCUGCGAGGACAGGUGCCACCACCUUCAAUGUGUCGAGAGUCUGUAAAAGCAGCGAAAGCAACAGAGACGUGUAAUGCGCCUCGUGGGCAUCUAGAAAAUAAAACUCUGUUCAGAGAAA
rnacentral:lncRNA from 1 species